rnacentral:rRNA from 1 species
CAGUCGCCGCGGGAAUACGAAGGUCCCAAGCGUUGUUCGGAAUCACUGGGCGUAAAGGGAGCGUAGGCGGCGUGGUAAGUCAGAUGUGAAAUCCCGGGGCUCAACCCCGGAACUGCAUCCGAUACUGCCAUGCUUGAGGGUUGGAGAGGUGACUGGAAUUCUCGGUGUAGCAGUGAAAUGCGUGGAUAUCGAGAGGAACACUCGUGGCGAAGGCGAGUCACUGGACAACAUCUGACGCUGAGGCUCGAAGGCUAGGGUAGCGAAAGGGAUUAGAGACCCCAGUAGUCCCUGUCUCUUAUAC